rnacentral:rRNA from 1 species
UACGUAGGGUGCAAGCGUUGUCCGGAAUUAUUGGGCGUAAAGAGCUUGUAGGCGGUUUGUCGCGUCUGCUGUGAAAUUUCGGGGCUCAACCCCGAACUUGCAGUGGGUACGGGCAGACUAGAGUGUGGUAGGGGAGACUGGAUUUCCUGGUGUAGCGGUGAAAUGCGCAGAUAUCAGGAGGAACACCGAUGGCGAAGGCAGGUCUCUGGGCCAUAACUGACGCUGAGAAGCGAAAGCAUGGGGAGCGAACAGG